rnacentral:lncRNA from 1 species
GCGUGACUCUACUGGGUGUUGUGAGAGAAGGUUAGUCAAGCUCAGAACUCCAAACAUGGUAAGUGCCAGAUCAUCUCCUGCGGUGCCGUCGGUGUGGGGAAAAGAGGGGAGUGGGAGAGAACUCGCUUCUGGUCAGAGAUCCAUUGCCCUGGGCAGGCAGGAGCGGGAGGACUGCAGGACGCUUUCCACAUGGCCCCGGGUGGCUGUCUGGCCGUGGGAAGGCACGGACCCAACUCGGUGGGUGGUGGAAAAGGGCAGCUCUAGGCACCGGGUUCCCAGUCUCCAGCAUCCCACGCUGGAUACCCCGGAAGAGCUUAGGACAGAAUGGGGUCCCCGGGGUGGCACUGGGCUUCGGGGCCAAAGGGAGGAGAAGUCGGGGAGAGCGGGCGCUGAAUGGUUCCCACGCGAGCGAGCGUCCUUGGUCAGGUCCGGGGCUGGAGCACAGGAUGGCCUUCUGGCGGGAGGUUUUCUUUUUAAUUUUUGUUACUGUGUGAAUUUGAUUGCAGUUUGGCUGCAGGGCUUCCCAAGUAUGAAGCAGAGAUGGCUGCACUGGACAUUGCCUGUAUAAUUUAAUAAUGUUCUUUAAUUGCAAAGAAAGGCUCUGUGCCUUUAAAAAGGAAAAUAAGUGGAGUCUGGAAAAUUUUAGUGAAUGCAAAUUUCCCAGACUAGAGCUCUGUCUGCAACUGUGGUGGAAUUGCUGAGCCAGGAAAGCUUCAGCUGUCUGAAUCAUUUGCUCUGUGAUCUUACAGUGGAGGAGCUGCUGUUGUCUGAGUCCCAGCUGUGUUUUCCAGGCUAAUGAGGGACUCUGUCCAUGCCUUUCUAUCAGGAACCCUAGUGGAAGGUAGCUUGGGGUUCUUUAUGGGAGUCUCUUCAGAGCCAUCUGUUGCAAACUGUGAAGAAGGCCAAAAGCCAUGUCAUGGUGAUUGUAAUUGUCUCCUUUGCCAGGCCAGGAGGAGCAAGUUUACUGAGUUAUCUGAGUCAGAUCUGCUGGUUCCAAGGACUGUGGUUCUGUUGGUCCAUGUGGUGAUCAUAGCAGAGGCCCUUGUCUUUGCCCCUUCCUGAGUGUGGAUUAAUGGGGGUGUGGGAAGCUCAGUAGCCCUAGUAGCUUGUGGGCUUGGGUACCAAAGGUUUUCCAUGGAGAUCUCUUGCCAGCCUUGGUUCUAGGGUUCCAGCAAAUAGAAAGGAAUGCAGGCAGGGAGGGGAAGUUGCAAACCUGCUUUUGCAGUGCCAGUCAACUCCACCUCCAUCUCUGCUGUGCCAUGCAGUAAUUCUGUGCCACCCUGCACUGAGUAGGGUCCCCAAGUGCACUGGGGGCUUGGUCAGUAAUGGUUUUUUUUAGAUACUUGGCAGUUCCCUUGUGCAGGGUUGUUUUAUUAGACUUCUCCUGAAUUUGUCCCAGUGUAUUCUAGCUUCUGCAAACUUCAUAGAGGUCUCCAUUUCUUUCCACUUAUCCCUGUAAGUAGGAUACAAGAUGCUACUCUUCUUCUUUUUUUUUUUUUUUUUUUGGAUUUUUUUUUGAGACAGGGUUUCUCUGUGUAGCUCUGGCUGUCCUGGAACUCACUUUGUAGACCAGGCUCGCCUCGAACUCAGAAAUCCGCCUGCGUCUGCCUCCCAAGUGCUGGGGUUAAAGGCGUGCGCCACCACACCGGACUGAUGCUACUCUUUAAAAGUUUUCUUGGCAUAAGACAUAGCUUGUGUAAGCUCUCCCUACUGCAGCUGUUGUAAAUUCUACCUUCUACUUUUGCUAUUUUUCUCAUCUCCUGCGACCUCCAACUCAGGAACCCAUCUCUGAGAAAUGGCUUGCUAUUUCAGGGCUCUGAGGCACUUAAUAAAUGUUCUGGGGGUCUUUGCUUUGUAUAUCUCCUAGCUGUCUUAAGUAGGACUUGUAAUCUCCAGUCCAUAUUGAAAUUGUUCAAAAUAACCUGGGGACUGAACAGGAAAUAAACUUAUGGAUGAGAGCAUGUGUGGAAUCCAAUACCUGUUUUUGCCUGGAUGGUCUUUGAGCAUUAGCCGCAGCUGAAUCCAUGCUGCCAUUAAGAAAAUUUUCCUAAUUAAUAUUUUAGUUGUAUAUGGAGUAUUUCUUUCUGGGAUGACAUGUUAAUUCUGGGAGAGCUGUCUCUUCUUCCCGUCAUAAAGAUGUGUCUAAGACAAGCUAUGUUGACUCAGGAAGCCUUGAUCCUGGUCUGCUGCUCCCCAGGGCAAUGACCUUGCUUUCCUCUUGAUAUAAAUUCCUAAAUUCUUGAUUUAAAGAAUGUAGCAAAGUAGUGUUUUAUAGUUGCUCAUUUGAGUCAUAUAAUGAACUAUUCAUUUUUUCCACCUUCAGUAGAGAACAGGAGCAAUGGUUUACUGUUAUCUCUGUCAGGUGAAACAGGGCGGGAAAUAGCUUGAUCAUAGAUAAAACCAUAAGAGAAUCUGCUCCAGGUGUCACCCUUCUAGAGAAGGAUAAGAGUCAGGCAGGGUGAAUAAUUUUGUAAUUUAACAGCAUGUAUUAAAUAAUGCAUGAUAUUAAAUAAAACUAGAUUUGUGGGUGCUUAGUUUGUGCAGGUUAGCUUGAGCCAGUGAUAAUGAAUUUCUGUUUUAGGAUCUAUACUAUAUAGAUAGAAUGUAUCAGAAAUGUAAAACACAUUCCAUUAGGUGUAGCUGUGUGUGUCAGAUUAUAGAUCUCAGUAGUUAACAAAGCACAUAGGAGCAAGGUCAAGCACUAUCUUAUUAAUGCCAUUCCUUCUACCAAGAAAGGCCUGAUCUUUUUCAAAUCAGUACAGUGAUAUAUAUUUUCCCAACAUAGGUGUGGGUUUGUUGUUGUUAUUUUUGUUUUACCUACCGACUGAGGACAAUGUGCUGAUUAACAAGAGUGCUCCACAGUGUCUGACAUGUGUCCUGCUUUGCUCUGAGCCUUGUCUCAUAGCCAUUAGGUAGAAAGUGCUUGCGGUUUACUUGAACCCAGCCUGAAGUCACAAAACAAAGUUUGUGUCCAAAAAUCCCUCUUCAGUUGCUAAUAUUCUGGCACUGACCAUCUGUGGACAGUUUGGUAACUCCAGUGUCAGCUGAUUAAUGGGAUAUGCAAGCUAUCCAGCUUGAUUCCAGGAGGAAGAAGGGAAAUUGCCUCCUGAGUCCUUUCAUUGGAGCUCAGGCAAGCUCCAAAGCAGUGAACCCAGGGUCACUGACCAGAAAGGUGGAGAGGCAGGCAGGUGAGCAGCAGGGAUCAGGAAUCUUAGCCCCUCCCAAGGGUUUGGCGGGAGAACAGACAGGUAGGCUAUUGGAGGAGCACACUCUAACCCUAAGGGUGGUGCUCAUGUCACUCAAGAUUCAAUAGCCAAUCAGAACCUCCACAUGGAGCUGCUAGUUAGAAGAGGCAGUGACUUCCAGGUACCAAGCCUGCAAGUUUCUCUAAGGUCUUCCCAGAGGCAGGAUGGUAAGCAUCAGCCAGACAGAUGGGGCCACCUGUGAGGUAUUUUGUGGACCUAGUCUCUCCUUUUGGACCAGGGUGUGGCCUCUGAGUAACUUUAUUAUAAGCCUGCAUCUGGACAAAACCUUUGUGGCAGGGGUUUGUGUGUGGAAAUACACUUGGCAGGAUGAGAACCAGAGGAACAGCUUACUGUGUACACUGUCAGGUAAAACAGUGCAGACAAGAGCUAGGUCACAGACCAAAGGAAAGGGGAGUAUGCUGCAGGGGUCACUCUUAUGGAGAAGGGCCUGAUUAGGGCAGUGAGAAUGAUUUUGUAAUUUCACAGAUUGUAUUAAUUAUGCAUGGACGUAUAUAAAACUAGAUUCGUGGGUGUUUAAUUUGGGCAGGUUAGCUUGAACCAGUGGGUAAUGAAUUCCCAUUUUAGGAUCUGUAUUAUGAGAUAUGUGCAAUCCUUGGGUGACAUGUUUAAGUGAGCCCACAAAUAUUAAACACAUGACAUUAUCUGUAGCUGUGUGUGUCACAUUGUAGACAUCAGUAGUUAACAAAGCACUUAGGGGCAAGGUCAAACACUAUCUUGUUGAUGCCAUUCCUUCUACCAAGAAGGGCCUGAUCUUUUUCAAAUCAGUACAGUGAUAUAUUUUACUAAUAUAGGUGUAGGUUUGUUGUUGUUAUGUUUGUUUUACCAACCCAGUGAGGACAAUUGUUCUAAUUAAUGCACUGAGUGCUCCACAGUGUCAUGUGUCCUGCUUUGCUCUGAGCCUUGUCUCAUAGCCAUUAGGUAGAAAGUACUUGCAAUUUACCUGAACCCAGCCUGAAGCCACAAAACAAAAUCUUAUAUCCUAAAAUCCCUCUUCAGUUGCUAAUAUUCUGGCACUGACCACCUGUGGACAGUUUGGUAACUCCAGUGUCAGCUGAUUGAUGGGGUAUGCAAGCUAUCCAGCUUGAUUCCAGGAGGAAGAAGGGGAAAUGUCUCCUGAGUGCUGGAUUUGGAGCUCAGGCAAGCUCCAAACUUUCAAAGCAGUGAACCCAGGGUCACUGACCAGAAAGGUGGAGAGGCAGGCAGGUAAGCAGCAGGGAUCAGGAAUCUUAGCCCCUCCCAAGGGCUUGGCGGGAGAACAGACAGGUAGGCUAUUGGAGGAGACACACUAGUGCUACUGAACUGGAAAUCUGCAGAUAUGGAAAAGGAUUGGCCCAGGCUGGAACCAUUGUGCUGUGUCCCUACAGACACUCUGACCCUAAGCAUGGUCCUCAAGUCACUCAAGACUCAAUGGCCAAUCAAAACCUCCACAUGGAGUUGCCAGGCAGAAGAGGAGGUGACUCUUCCAGGUACUAAGCCUGCAAGUGUCUCUGUGUAACUCAGCUGCUCUCAGAUUUUCUGUGGAAUCGGUUCUUAUUAUUUUUACUGAGUGCUGUGAGGUUAGCUCAGGCAAGCUUAGAACUUCAGACAUGGGGGGCUGGUGAGAUGGCUCAACAGAUAAGAGCACCCGACUGUUCUUCUGAAGGUCCUGAGUUCAAUUCCCAGCAACCACAUGGUGGCUCACAACCAUCCCUAACAAGAUCUGGCGCCCUCUUCUGGAGUGUCUGAAGACAGCUACAGUGUACUUACAUAUAAUAAAUAAAUAAAUCUUU